rnacentral:rRNA from 1 species
UGACUGCCGGCUAAAAGUCGGAGGAAGGUGGGAUGACGUCAAAUCAUCAUGCCCUUAUGACCUGGGCUACACACGUGCUACAAUGGGCGGUACAAAGGUCGCGAACCCGCGAGGGGAGCCAAUCCCAAAAAGCCGCUCUCAGUUCGGAUUGCAGGCUGCAACUCGCCUGCAUGAAGCCGGAAUCGCUAGUAAUCGCGGAUCAGCAUGCCCGCGGUCCGAAUACGUUCCGGCCUU